GAAAUGCGAUAAGUAGUGUGAAUUGCAGAAUUCAGUGAAUCAUCGAAUCUUUGAACGCACAUUGCGCUCCUUGGUAUUCCAUGGGGCAUGCCUGUUCGAGCGUCAUUUGUACCCUCAAGCUCUGCUUGGUGUUGGGUGUUUGUCCCGUCUCCGCGCGUGGACUCGCCCCAAAGUGAUUGGCAGCCGGCGUACUGGUCCCGGAGCGCAGCACAUGUCGCGCAAACGAGUGCCUUGGUACGGCGGCGUCCAUAAGCCCCUCUCUCACGCUCUUGACCUCGGAUCAGGUAGGGAUACCCGCUGAACUUAAGC
rnacentral:misc_RNA from 1 species